rnacentral:pre_miRNA from 1 species
UUUUAUCCCGAUCGUGGUACUAGAAAUUUUAUCACUGUCGUGGUACCGG